rnacentral:rRNA from 1 species
AUUCCAGCUCCAAUAGCGUAUAUUAAUGUUGUUGCAGUUAAAAAGCUCGUAGUUGAAUUUCUGGUUAAAAUCUUAGCUGGCUUUGGUCGUUAAUGUUUUAAUCAUCCGUUAGAGAACUAUAACCGUCCUUAACUGGUCAUUAUAGAGAUCUAACAUUUUACUUUGAAAAAAUUAGAGUGUUCAAGGCAGGCAAUCGUCAUGAAUACUAUAGCAUGGAAUAAUGGAAUAGGACUUUGGUUCAUUUUAUUGGUUAUUGAACCUUAGUAAUGAUUAACAGGGACAGUUGGGGGCAUUAGUAUUUAAUUGUCAGAGGUGAAAUUCUUGGAUUUAUUAAAGACUAACUUAUGCGAAAGCAUUUGCCAAGGAUGUUUUCAUCA